rnacentral:rRNA from 1 species
CCUACGGGCGGCAGCAGUGGGGAAUAUUGCGCAAUGGACGAAAGUCUGACGCAGCGACGCCGCGUGAGGGAUGAAGGUUUUCGGGUUGUAAACUUCUUUUCUCAGGGACGAAGAAAGUGACGGUACCUGAGGAAUAAGCCACGGCUAACUACGUGCCAGCAGCCGCGGUAAUACGUAGGUGGCAAGCGUUAUCCGGAUUUACUGGGUGUAAAGGGCGUGUAGGCGGGACUGCAAGUCAGAUGUGAAAACCACGGGCUCAACCUGUGGCCUGCAUUUGAAACUGUAGUUCUUGAGUACUGGAGAGGCAGACGGAAUUCCUAGUGUAGCGGUGAAAUGCGUAGAUAUUAGGAGGAACACCAGUGGCGAAGGCGGUCUGCUGGACAGCAACUGACGCUGAGGCGCGAAAGCGUGGGGAGCAAACAGGAUUAGAUACCCGUGUAGUC